AAGUGGAGCAAUCCAUGAGUACAGUGGCGCACGGGUGAGUAACACGUGACUAACCUACCUUCGAGUGGGGAAUAACUCCGGGAAACCGGGGCUAAGACCGCAUAAUAUCGAGAGAUCAAAUGCGAAAGCAGCUUGAAGAGGGGGUCGCGGUUGAUUAGCUAGUUGGCGGGGUAAUGGCCCACCAAGGCAAUGAUCAAUAGCCGGCCUGAGAGGGCGCACGGCCACACUGGAACUGAAACACGGUCCAGACUCCUACGGGAGGCAGCAGUGGGGAAUUUUGCGCAAUGGGGGAAACCCUGACGCAGCAAUGCCGCGUGGAGGAUGAAGUCCUUUGGG
rnacentral:rRNA from 1 species